UGGGGAAUAUUGCACAAUGGGCGCAAGCCUGAUGCAGCGACGCCGCGUGAGGGAUGGAGGCCUUCGGGUUGUAAACCUCUUUCGCCAGUGAAGCAGGCCAUCUUCUUUGUGGGGUGGUUGACGGUAGCUGGAUAAGAAGCGCCGGCUAACUACGUGCCAGCAGCCGCGGUAAUACGUAGGGCGCGAGCGUUGUCCGGAAUUAUUGGGCGUAAAGAGCUCGUAGGCGGCUGGUCGCGUCUGUCGUGAAAUCCCCUGGCUUAACUGGGGGCGUGCGGUGGGUACGGGCAGGCUUGAGUGCGGUAGGGGAGACUGGAAUUCCUGGUGUAGCGGUGGAAUGCGCAGAUAUCAGGAGGAACACCGGUGGCGAAGGCGGGUCUCUGGGCCGUUACUGACGCUGAGGAGCGAAAGCGUGGGGAGCGAACAGG
rnacentral:rRNA from 1 species